UACAGAGGGUGCGAGCGUUGUUCGGAAUUAUUGGGCGUAAAGGGCGCGUAGGCGGUGCGGUAAGUCACCUGUGAAAUCUCCUGGCUCAACUGGGAGCUUGCAGGCGAAACUGCCGUGCUGGAGUGUGGGAGAGGUGCGUGGAAUUCCCGGUGUAGCGGUGAAAUGCGUAGAUAUCAGGAGGAACACCUGUGGCGAAAGCGGCUCACUGGACCAUAACUGACGCUGAGGCACGAAAGCUAGGGGAGCAAACAGG
rnacentral:rRNA from 1 species